UACGUAGGGUGCAAGCGUUGUCCGGAAUUAUUGGGCGUAAAGAGCUCGUAGGCGGUCUGUCGCGUCGGCUGUGAAAACCCGAGGCUCAACCUCGGGCCUGCAGUCGAUACGGGCAUCACUGGAGUUCGGCAGGGGAGACUGGAAUUCCUGGUGUAGCGGUGAAAUGCGCAGAUAUCAGGAGGAACACCAGUAGCGAAGGCGGCACUCUGGGCCGGUACUGACGCUGAGGAGCGAAAGCGUGGGGAGCGAACAGG
rnacentral:rRNA from 1 species